rnacentral:rRNA from 1 species
GACGAACGCUGGCGGCGUGCUUAACACAUGCAAGUCGAACGGAAAGGCCCUGCUUUUGUGGGGUGCUCGAGUGGCGAACGGGUGAGUAACACGUGAGUAACCUGCCCUUGACUUUGGGAUAACUUCAGGAAACUGGGGCUAAUACCGGAUAGGAGCUCCUGCUGCAUGGUGGGGGUUGGAAAGUUUCGGCGGUUGGGGAUGGACUCGCGGCUUAUCAGCUUGUUGGUGGGGUAGUGGCUUUCCAAGGCUUUGACGGGUAGCCGGCCUGAGAGGGUGAACGGCCACAUUGGGACUGAGAUACGGCCCAGACUCCUACGGGAGGCAGCAGUGGGGAAUAUUGCACAAUGGGCGGAAGCCUGAUGCAGCAACGCCGCGUGCGGGAUGACGGCCUUCGGGUUGUAAACCGCUUUCGCCUGUGACGAAGCGUGAGUGACGGUAAUGGGUAAAGAAGCACCGGCUAACUACGUG